rnacentral:rRNA from 1 species
GACGAACGCUGGCGGCGUGCUUAACACAUGCAAGUCGAACGGGCCUGUCUUCUUUUUUGGGGGUGGGUUGAGUGGCGAACGGGUGAGUAUCACGUGAGUAACCUGCCCUUCGGUCCUGGAUAACCGCUUGAAAGGGCGGCUAAUACGGGGUGGUCCGGUUGGUCCGCAUGGGCUGGUCGGGAUAGAUUCACUGUUUUUGGUGUUUCGGCGGGGGAUGGGCUCGCGGCCUAUCAGCUUGUUGGUGGGGUGAUGGCCUACCAAGGCGGUGACGGGUAGCCGGCCUGAGAGGGUGGGCGGCCAAACUGGGACUGAGGUACGGCCCAGACUCCUGCGGGAGGCAGCAGUGGGGGGUAUUGCACAAUGGGCGGAAGCCUGAUGCAGCGACGUCGCGUGAGGGAUGGAGGCCUUCGGGUUGUGAACCUCUGUUUCCGGUGGUGAAGGCCCUGUCCGUGUGGUGGGGUUGACGGUAGCCGGGGAUGAAGCGCCGGCUAACUACGUG